rnacentral:rRNA from 1 species
UGGGGAAUAUUGCACAAUGGGGGCAACCCUGAUGCAGCGACGCCGCGUGGGUGAUGAAGGUUUUCGGAUCGUAAAGCCCUUUUCUGCAUGACGAGCACAGGACGGUAGUGCAGGAAUAAGUGUCGGCUAACUACGUGCCAGCAGCCGCGGUAAAACGUAGGACACAAGCGUUAUCCGGAAUUACUGGGCGUAAAGGGCGUGCAGGCGGUUGCGUAAGUUAGGCGUGAAAGACUUCGGCUAAACCGGGGGAGGUCGUCUGAUACUGCGCAACUAGAGUAUGGUAGAGGCGUGUAGAAUUCCGGGUGUAGUGGUGAAAUGCGUAGAGAUCCGGAGGAAUACCAGUGGCGAAGGCGGCACGCUGGGCCAUAACUGACGCUAAGACGCGAAAGCAUGGGUAGCGAACGGGAUUAGAUACCCCCGUAGUCCCUGAGCGGGCUGGCAAGGCGCAU